rnacentral:rRNA from 1 species
AUGAACGCUGGCGGCGUGCCUAAUACAUGCAAGUCGAGCGAACAGACGAGGAGCUUGCUCCUCUGACGUUAGCGGCGGACGGGUGAGUAACCCGGGGAUAACCUACCUAUAAGACUGGGAUAACUUCGGGAAACCGGAGCUAAUACCGGAUAAUAUAUUCAACCGCAUGGUUCAAUAGUGAAAGACGGUUUUGUUGGCACCUAUAGAUGGAUCCGCGCCGCAUUAGCUAGUUGCUAAGGUAACGGCUUACCAAGGCAACGAUGCGUAGCCGCCCUGAGAGGGUGAUCGGCCACCCGGCACCUGAACCACGGUCCAGACUCCUACGGGAGGCAGCCGUAGGGAAUCUUCCGCAAUGGGCGAAAGCUUGACGGAGCAGCGCCGCGUGAGUGAUGAUGGUCUUCGGAUCCUAAAACUCUGUUAUUAGGGAAGAACAAAUGUGUAAGUAACUAUGCACGUCUUGACGGUACCUACUCAGAAAGCCACGGCUAACUACGUG